ensembl:lncRNA
UGGAGUUGGAUUUGGUGUUGGAGUUGGAGUUGGUGCUCAUGUUGGAGUUGGUGUUGGAUUUGGUGUUGGAGUUGGUGUUGGUAUUGGAGUUGGAGUUGGAGUUGCAGCUGGUGUUGGAGUUGGAGUUGGUGUUCGUUUGGAGUUGGAUUUGGUGUUGGCGUUGGAGUUGGUGCUCAUGUUGGAGUUGGUGUUAGAUUUGGUGUUGGAGUUGGUGUUGGAGUUGGAGUUGAUGUUGGUGUUACAGUAUCUGGUCAUUAUGAACACCUCUAGGCACAAAGAUGCUCUGCAGACGAACCCCUUGAGGUUUAACAGUUCGGGAGAUGUUUGGCAGGAAUGGGAAUUUGAUUUUGGUUCCGAGUCUGUGAUCCUGCUUUGGGAACUUCCAGCUCUCCCACAGAACCCGUCUCAGCUGGCCGGAUUAGGAGGCGAUGGCUCGGCAUCACACACUUCGCUCUGGAGAGUGUUUUAGCGAAAGCCGACUUUUCUCUCCAUUUUGGCUCGAGGCUUUAAGAUUAUGUAUAUUUUAUUUCAGUGGAGAUUAAAGGACAAGUGCAAUAACAGUAGGAGCCUAGAGCUCUCUCUGUGUGUGUGUAUGUGUGUGUGUGUGUCACUGUGUGUGUGUGUGUGUGUGUGUGUGUGUGUGUGUGUGUGUGUGUGUGUGUGUGUGUGUGUAUGUGUGUGUGUGUGUGUGUGUGUGUGAUUGGAUUUCCAGACUAAACCCUCCCAUGCUCAGCCCCCUCACUCGUCCUUAGACUUUUCCAAGAUUCAAAGUGAAGUUUAUGUUGCAGCUAAUGCAUGCUGGUGCUACAGCGUUAGUCUUAGCAUUAGCUGGCUAAGACAUUUACAUGCAGUACGAGCUAAAUGCCUUUAGCAGCCCUUGCCUCGAGCAAAAACCUGUUCACUCUGAGUAACAGUCAGAUUGUAUUUUUCUCCACAACGCUGCUUUUUCUCUUAGAAUAACACCAUGUUUGCAAAUGAUUUCAGAUUUACAAACUACGUGAGGUAUAAAAGCUUUAUUUAGCGGAACAACCCCCGUUUUCUCCCUGGCAUGUUCUACACACACUGUUUCAGAGGUCUGAUCAGGUGUAAUGCAUCUGAACAACGAUGGUGU